rnacentral:misc_RNA from 1 species
GAUGAAGAACGUAGCAAAAUGCGAUAAGUAAUGUGAAUUGCAGAAUUCAGUGAAUCAUCGAAUCUUUGAACGCACAUUGCGCCCGCUGGUAUUCCGGCGGGCAUGCCUGUUCGAGCGUCAUUUCAACCCUCAAGCCCCAGGCUUGCGUUGGAGCCCUGCGGCUGCCGCAGCCUCCUAAAAGCAGUGGCGGGCUCGCUAUCACACCGAGUGCAGUAGAUUACUCUUCGCUCAGGGCGUGCAGCGGGUUCCGGCCGUGAAACCCCCUACUUUUAAAGGUUGACCUCGGAUCAGGUAGGAAUACCCGCUGAACUUAAGCAUAUCAAUAAGCGGAGGA